AAUCAACCAAUCCCCACCCCACCUCCCGCACGCCACCUACCCUGAUCCAAGCCGGCCCAGCGCAGCCCACCUUCUCCGGCGAGAUGCGCACCACCCGAGCAGUCGCCCCACCCUCCCCACCUUCUCUGCGCGCGGCACGUCCUACCCGAAACGAAUCCCGGCUUCCUCGCCUCCUCCUGCUCCCGGCCGGCGCCGCCCCGACGCCUCCUCCUCACAGCCGGCGCCGCCCCGACUCCUCUACCUCCUGGUCGGCAUCAUCACACCUUCUAUUCGUCACCCCGACCACCUACUCCGGUCACACCUCCCCCAACCCCGCCGUCGGGCACUGCCCCACCACCUCCACUGCCUCGUGCUGCUGUCGCCCUUGCUCGCGGGGCCCCCUCCACCUUCUCCAAUCACGGCCCCUACCACUACCUCCUACCACUUCGCUUCGCCGCCGGCCAGCGGGGGAGCCAGAUCCCCACGCCACCAGGGCUACCGUGAGCCAUCUCCGUCCUCCUAGAUACCAACUCCCCCAGCCAGCGCCGCCCAACCCCUGGCCACUCGCCCCUCCCCCUCAGCUGCGUGGUGGCCGACGACUCCGGUGGCUCUCCGUCCACGGAUUCGGCCGUCCCCCGACCACCGGACCACGGGCAGUGAGUUCCUCAGGUGAGAUCUCCGACGGCCUCCGACGAGAUCUCCUGCAUCCCCUUCCCUCCUGUGAGCUGGCCUGAAGACAGUCGAGGCUCCCGAUGCAGUUUGAUUUCGUGGGUGGCGUCGUGCGGUGUGUGUGUCUUGCAGCUCAAAGCCAGCGGGCAUGCAGCUCUGAACGAUUCGGCCGCCUGCACACACUGAAUCCAUCUCAGCAGUAGCUACGGGAGCAUAGCAGCAGGUGGCGGUGUCCCAAGGAGGUCGUUUGAUCCAUUGCUCGUGGCCUCCGCUUGCUCCGCCUAGCUGCUAUCUCUAAACAUCAUAGCUUCUGCUCCCGACUGUAGCUUGUUUGUGCGCACAAAGAAGAAAUAAAAGGGAAAAGGCACAUACAGUGGUGGAAGGAUAAGAAGUGUGUGACGAGGCUAGUCUAUGGAUGAAAUCUUUGCAUCUUUUUCAGCUCAUCCAGCAUGUGUGCGCGGUUCAUUUUCCCCAAAAAUGUGUGGUCCACUUUCAACACCCCUGUACCUGCUCUGCUCUAUAGGACGGUGAUCGCAGGCUGUUCGCUUCUGUUUGCGCAGGAUAUUGUGCAAAAUUCCCAGUUUUUUGUGGUUUGCUCGCUAUGUAAAAAAUGCAGUUUAUUUGUAACGAUGCUUGUGGUUUGCUUGCUAUUUAAAAAGUGUAGUCCAUCCCAUCGGUCAUGUUUUUUGAGAAAACAAUUUGUAUUGUCACACAUGGUGGUUUCACUUAUGUGUAUGCUUGCAAUGCGGUGUGUGUAUGCGUGCAGUGCGCUCCUGUGGUUUCCUUUGUAACGACAAUAAAAAACCAUCACACAGAAGUUAAUUUCCUUUUA